CCCUUAUUUUUUCAGAAAACAGAGAGAGUUCUCUCUUUCUCUCGGCCUCUCCUCCAAAAUCCGACCUAGGGUUCAGGCCUCCGCCGCGCCACCUCCACGGCCAAUGGCCGGAGUUGCGCGAAAUGGGCUUUUCAGUCCUCCCCUUUCGGCUUCCUUGAAGGCUUGGCCUUCUCAACCACGAGAUCGAGAGAAAAAAAGAAGAGGUCGCUCCCCAUGUUCGACUCCGAUGACGGCGAAGAAGGGCACUGACGCCGGCCUUCGAAACGAACAGGUAUAGGGCGGUGGAGGAGACGUGAUGCAGACAGGGUAGCCUGCAAAUGGCGUCGGCAGAUGAGUAGGUGGUUGAAGGGACAUGCGGCGCCUAGGUCAAAGGCUAGGGUUUUUUUCUGAAAAUAUUUUAGGUGUCUGGGCUUGGGUUAGUUUGGUUUUGUAAUUGGGUUUAAUGCUGUAAUAGACUGGGUUAAUUGUUAGUGGGCCGGGCAGAAAUUGGGUCUGUACACUCAAUAUAAUAUUUAUUUUAGAUUUAUAAUGCGUAUUAUUUGAUAAUAUAUUUUAUUUCAAAUA